UCCGCGGCCAUCGUCCCGUCCCUUCCGCGGCGAGGACCAAUGAUAACGCCGCCCCGCUGCCAGUCCCUCCCACCACGUGCCGUGGCGGGCAGCGGGCCCGGCCGCUCUCCCCGCGGAGGCCUACGUCUGCGCCGGGCCCGCUGCCGCUCGCGGGACGCCCCUGGCUCCCGCUGAGGGAGCAGCAAGCCCCCGUCUCUCCUGAGGCACGAACCAGCGACGGGUUCCCCACCCUCGAGGACUCUUGGAGGAGAUAGGAUGCAUUGUACCUGGAGGAGGUCGCCCAUCGUUUAUGUUGAAUGCUGUUGCAAAUAUACCAAAGGGAAACGCCCCAAUUCCAAAUGACAUUUGGAAGCCACCAUCGCCAAACCCAAAGCCCUGGAAUCCCUGCAGAGAACAAAGCAACAGAAGAGA